AUUAAUUAUUUCUGCUUAUAUUUAAUUUGUUUAUUUUGCUUAUCCUUAUGUUUUACACAACAAUGGUUUAUAGUCGCCAUAUCAAAUAUCACUAUAUCAAUAUAUACAAAUAUCAUAUUUCAUCAUACAAAACUUUAUAUUUUAGGAACUACCAGUUGAGGAACUGCCAGCUGAGGAGCCCCCAAUUGAGGAACCAUCUGUCCAAAGAUCAAUUUUGGAUCAGAUCACUGACAAUGAUGAACAAAAUGAUGUCUCUGCUGCCUCCUCUUCCAGUGCUCAUGCUGCCCCAUCAUCAGCAAUUGAUCCUACAUCUGAUUUUGGUCAUAGUCAAGAUGCAUCGCAGAACAGACGAAGACGCGUUUUAAAAUCAACGCGACGGACCUCCUCUAUUGAGACGCCGUAUGAUCGAGUGGCAAAAGAGUUUGCUGCUGCGGAAUUACAGCGGUUGAAGUUGGAGGAGGACCGUGACAGGAGGCAGCAUGCAUUAGAAAUAAAAAGGCUUGAGCUGGAAACCUUGCGUGAAACCAAUCUUCACGCAAGGGAAGCUGUCAGAGCCCAGAUUGAUAGGGAUACAAUAAAUAUCCAACAAGCAUUCCUCAAACUUCUUCAAGACGCCAUAACAAAAUUUUCUCAUUAACAUUACUUCCUUUUUUUCUGCUGGCGGUUCAUUCUACCAAUCUGGUUAUAAUAACGAAGUAACGGCCCGAGUCGAGGUUCGCUCGCGGUUUAUCCUCUAAAUCCGGUUAUAAUAACGAAGUAACGGCGCGAGCCAAGGUUCGCUAGGGGUUUAUCCUCUAAAUCCGGUUAUAAUAACGAAGUAACGGCGCGAGCCAAGGUUCGCUAGGGGUUUAUCCUCUAAAUCCAGUUAUAAUAACGAAGUAACGGCGCGAGCCGAGGUUCGCUAGGGGUUUAUCCUCUAAAUCCGGUUAUAAUGAAGUAACGGCGCGAGUCCCACGGAGGGCCACACCUUGUGUUGGCUGAGAAAGGAAUGUAGCUUUGAGAAGCA